UCCCGCUCUCUCUGCCGUCGCCCUGGCUGGGACAGCGGCUCGUCCUCCCUCCCAGCCGGGCGGGCCCCGGGCGAUGCUGAAGGAUCCUGGAAUCCCGCCCGGCAGUGCCCCUUGUUCCCGGCAGGCACACCAGGCUCCCAAGUGCUCGCUAUCAGCUUCCAUCAGAUCCAGAUUAAGAAAUUAGCCUUCGACUAAUCAUUUAAAUUAAUGGUCCCAGACUGGUACAUAAAGUUAGCUGACGCAGGUCCCGCCUAGACUUCAGCCUUUCCUAAAGUAUGCUCGGGGCGCUGCUUUCCUGCCUGUCUCUUCUGUCCUUUGGUGGGAGCACGGUGGCAGCUGGAAACUGGCAUUGAAGUGGCCCCAAACACUGGCAAUGAGAGUCAGCCUGAGGCCUCUGAGCACAGAGUGUGGCCAGAGCAAAGCACAGACCUGUUUUGCAGUGGUGUUCGUGGGUUUUGUCACACUGCUACGCUCAAUGACCCAGCUGUGUUCACCUGCAGACUCUUAUUGCUUGGGCUGCAGAUUCCCAGUGACAGCAGCUCAGGUAUGGGCCCUGUUGGCUGCCAGAGCCCAGGCAGAACGUGGUGCAGCCUCCAAGAGCUCCAGCUGUGCAAACAGCAGAUGACAGAGGCGCCGUUUUUCAGGUUUGUAGAUUUGUAUUGCUCUGGAUCACAC